rnacentral:rRNA from 1 species
GCCUACGGGGGGCAGCAGUAGGGAAUAUUGCUCAAUGGGGGAAACCCUGAAGCAGCAACGCCGCGUGGAGGAUGAAGGUUUUCGGAUCGUAAACUCCUUUUGUUAGAGAAGAUAAUGACGGUAUCUAACGAAUAAGCACCGGCUAACUCCGUGCCAGCAGCCGCGGUAAUACGGAGGGUGCAAGCGUUACUCGGAAUCACUGGGCGUAAAGAGCGCGUAGGCGGGAUAGCAAGUCAGAUGUGAAAUCCUAUGGCUUAACCAUAGAACUGCAUUUGAAACUGUUAUUCUAGAGUAUGGGAGAGGAA